UACGUAGGGGGCAAGCGUUAUCCGGAUUUACUGGGUGUAAAGGGAGCGUAGACGGCGGUGCAAGCCAGAUGUGAAAGUCCGGGGCUCAACCCCGGGACUGCAUUUGGAACUGUGCUGCUAGAGUGUCGGAGAGGCAGGCGGAAUUCCUAGUGUAGCGGUGAAAUGCGUAGAUAUUAGGAGGAACACCAGUGGCGAAGGCGGCCUGCUGGACGAUGACUGACGUUGAGGCUCGAAAGCGUGGGGAGCAAACAGG
rnacentral:rRNA from 1 species